AGNCGAGCGGAGAUGAGGUGCUUGCACCUUAUCUUAGCGGCGGACGGGUGAGUAAUGCUUAGGAAUCUGCCUAUUAGUGGGGGACAACAUUCCGAAAGGAAUGCUAAUACCGCAUACGUCCUACGGGAGAAAGCAGGGGAUCUUCGGACCUUGCGCUAAUAGAUGAGCCUAAGUCGGAUUAGCUAGUUGGUGGGGUAAAGGCCUACCAAGGCGACGAUCUGUAGCGGGUCUGAGAGGAUGAUCCGCCACACUGGGACUGAGACACGGCCCANACUCCUACGGGAGGCAGCAGUGGGGAAUAUUGGACAAUGGGGGGAACCCUGAUCCAGCCAUGCCGCGUGUGUGAAGAAGGCCUUAUGGUUGUAAAGCACUUUAAGCGAGGAGGAGGCUACUGAGACUAAUACUCUUGGAUAGUGGACGNUACUCGCAGAAUAAGCACCGGCUAACUCUGUGCCAGCA
rnacentral:rRNA from 1 species